AAAUUGAAGAGUUUGAUCAUGGCUCAGAUUGAACGCUGGCGGCAGGCUUAACACAUGCAAGUCGAACGGUAGCAGGAAGAAGCUUGCUUCUUUGCUGACGAGUGGCGGACGGGUGAGUAAUGCUUGGGAAUCUGGCUUAUGGAGGGGGAUAACUACGGGAAACUGUAGCUAAUACCGCGUAGUAUCGGGAGAUGAAAGACUGGGACCGCAAGGC
rnacentral:rRNA from 1 species